rnacentral:rRNA from 1 species
GAUCAUGGCUCAGGAUGAACGCUGGCGGCGUGCCUAACACAUGCAAGUCGAACGGAACUAAGCGCUUCGGAGACUUCGGUCAAUGUUGCUUGGUUUAGUGGCGGACGGGUGAGUAACGCGUGGAUAACCUGCCUCAUACAGGGGGAUAACAGUUAGAAAUGACUGCUAAUACCGCAUAAGCGCACAGUUUCGCAUGGAACAGUGUGAAAAACUCCGGUGGUAUGAGAUGGAUCCGCGUCUGAUUAGCUAGUUGGCGGGGUAACAGCCCACCAAGGCGACGAUCAGUAGCCGGCCUGAGAGGGUGAACGGCCACAUUGGGACUGAGACACGGCCCAAACUCCUACGGGAGGCAGCAGUGGGGGAUAUUGCACAAUGGGGGAAACCCUGAUGCAGCGAACCGCCGCGUGAGUGAAGAAGUAUUUCGGUAUGUAAAGCUCUAUCAGCAGGGAAGAUAAUGACGGUACCUGACUAAGAAGCACCGGCUAAAUACGUGCCAGCCGCAGC